GCCCCCUCGUCUCGAGCCACGCGCUUCCCCCUGGCAGUUGGUCCGUGAGAGAGGCGGGGAGAAACUCUGGCGAAGAGACCUGGACUGCGCGAGAGACGCUGUUAGUUCUGUGCACCCUGCUCUGCAAUUGGCCACCAUGGAGAUGAGCCAAUCUGGAGAGGCGAGGAAUGAGGGCGAAUUUUGUACCACGUGGAGGGCGCUGUCCUCAGAGGGCACCGCCUCCAUCUGCAUCAAAUCACCGCAAGAGACCUGGACUGCGCGAGAGACGCUGUUAGUUCUGUGCACCCUGCUCUGCAAUUGGCCACCAUGGAGAUGAGCCAAUCUGGAGAGGCGAGGAAUAAGGGUGAAUUUUGUACCACGUGGAGGGCGCUGUCCUCAGAGGGCACCGCCUCCAUCUGCAUCAAAUCACCGCAAGAGACCUGGACUGCGCGAGAGACGCUGUUAGUUCUGUGUACCCUGCUCUGCAAGUUGCCACCAUGGAGAUGAGCCAAUCUGGAGAGGCGAGGAAUAAGGGCGAAUCUUGUACCACGUGGACGGCGCUGUCCUCAGAGGGCACCGCCUCCAUCUGCAUCAAAUCACCGCAAGGUAAGAACAGGAAUGAGAGAUGCCACAGAGGACCAUGGUGAAUGGUGGAACAUCACGAUGGCCAUGUUGCAUGGUGGAUGUCACAGUGGCCAUGAUGCAUUGAAGAUUUCAUAGCGGCCAUGAUGCAUGGGUGAUAUCCAGGUGGCCAAGUUGCAUGGGGGACUUCAUGUUGGCAGUGUUGUAUGGGGGACUUAAUGGUAGCCAUGUUGCAUGGGGAUGAUUAUUUGUGCUCUGGCCUCAGCACAUCACACGCUUUCAGAUGCGCUUCCGAUAUUAGGAAGCCACUUUUAAAUCAUCUAGAUUGAAAACUAAUUUCUUGAGCUUAUUUGGGGCAUCAAGUCAAACGUUCCACGAGAGGAGGCGAGUCACGUCUGAAUGCCUACGGGAUGGAGGAGAGCACCGGCCUCGCUGAAACGGGGCUUUCAUGCAAAAGAAUCGACGAAAAUAUAAAAAAAACAAGGAAAAAAAUCGAGCGUGUUGUGAGCAUUGAUAGACAGUGGAGAAGUAUCAAGAGGCGUGAUAAGGGAGGGUGGCUUGCUACAAGGGGUAGGAGUGGUCCCUUCAUCGCGCCUUCUUCUCUCGUGAUUAGACUGCUCUUUCUCUCCAUCGCGACGCUCAAUGUUUACUUUCAGCCGGAACGCUCCGGAUCGCUACACCGGGAAUAAUUUUGCACUCGCACUCACCAGCGUGGUGAAAUAUGAUCAAAUGACCCCCAUUGUUAACGUGACGUACGGGAGGGGCCUUCAUCCGUUGUUGUGCUGAUAAUGACUGGAAUGGAUUUUAUUUUGACGCAUGCUGCAGUAUCCUGCAUUUGGGGAGUGGCAGUGCAGUGAUUGGUGGUCUCAAGCUGCAUUUCCAAGAGGGUCCUGAGGGCAGGAGCUGAAUUGGUCGUCGUGUGGCAGGAAACUGGAGUGCCCGAACAAAGCCUAUGUAUAUGGAGGGGAUAACACUCAAGGAACUAAUUUUAUUUUUGUUCAUCAGACAGCCCCAAAGACCCACACACACAAAACAGCCAGCAAAAAACAUGACUAUUAAAUGUGUCACCGAUAAAGAGAUAAUAAGUGUCUUGAAUCGAGCACGGUUAUAGGAAUAUUGGAAAUACAGGGGGUAAAGUUUA